UACAGAGGCCCCAAGCGUUACUGAGAAUCACUGGGCUUAAAGCGUGUGUAGGCGGGCGGGCAAGUACCUUGUGAAAUCCCACGGCUCAACCGUGGAACGGCUGGGUAUACUGCCUGUCUUGAGCCAACUAGGGGCGAGCGGAACAGACGGUGGAGCGGUGAAAUGCGUAGAUAUCGUCUGGAACGCCAAAGGUGAAAACAGCUCGCUGGGGUUGUGCUGACGCUGAGACACGAAAGCCAGGGGAGCGAACGGG
rnacentral:rRNA from 1 species